ACAGUGAUAACAGCACAGCACUAAUUAAGGAUUCACAGUAUGAGCGUGAAGAAUGUAUGGCCAUGUUAUUAGAACACGGUGCUGAUCCAAAUGCUAUGGAUAGUAGUGGGAACACAGCACUGCACUAUGUUGUUUGGCAUAACAACAUGUCAAUGGCAGCNAAACUGCUGGCCCAUCAUGCUGACAUCACUAUAAGGAAUGAGGAUAGCUUCACACCACUUAAACUGGCUCAAUUAAAAAACCAUGACAACCUGGCAAAACUUUUAGAAAACAAGGAAGAAAAGAUAGAGGAAGUUGAUGAAUU